rnacentral:misc_RNA from 1 species
GAUGAAGAACGCAGCGAAAUGCGAUAAGUAAUGUGAAUUGCAGAAUUCAGUGAAUCAUCGAAUCUUUGAACGCACAUUGCGCCCGUCAGUAUUCUGGCGGGCAUGCCUGUUCGAGCGUCAUUACGCCCCUCAAGUCCCCUGUGGACUUGGUGUUGGGGAUCGGCGAGGCUGGUUUUCCAGCACAGCCGUCCCUUAAAUUAAUUGGCGGUCUCGCCGUGGCCCUCCUCUGCGCAGUAGUAAAACACUCGCAACAGGAGCCCGGCGCGGUCCACUGCCGUAAAAUCCCCCAACUUUUUAUAGUUGACCUCGAAUCAGGUAGGACUACCCGCUGAACUUAAGCAUAUCAAUAAGCGGAGGA